UUUUUACCAGUGGUACAUGUAUAUAUAUAUGUACUACUAUAUUAUAAAACACUGCUGAUUAUGAUUGGUGGAGAAUUUCAAAAGGACAAUGAAUUGCAUGUACUUCCAUUUAAAACUUUUGGACAAUUUGUUAUAAAUGACUACAUGUGCAACAGAGUAGAUUGUUUAUCAAUAUAACUAAACAAUAAAUGAAUUUCAUGCUAGAUUUGUUGUUACUUUUACUGCUAAAUCCUUCAAUAAAAAGAUUUGAUCAUUCAUCAGUUCUUUUCCUUGAUCUUUCAUCCAUGAAAAUCUGACACAUGAUCAAACCCAUGGGGUAUAUUUGAAUUACAAGAAAUGAAAAAAAAAACAUAUCCCUAUUAAAGAAAAACAUGUUUUGAAUGUGUGUUUUUAAAAACGAAAUAAAUAGCAACAUUGAGACAGAGCUAGAUUUGUAUGAUUUUUGGGAUGUAUGGAUCUUAAGUCCUAGCUGUAGAUCAGGUUUCCUUCAUUGUCAGAACCUUAUAAAUAAUAUGCUAAAGGAUGCAGGACUGUGCUGCUGCAUUUCAAGAAUGGAAUGUGCAGCUACCUGAUAUCUCAAGUGUGCUUUCUAUAUAUAUAUAUAUAUCUUAUUUAAAAAGCGAAGUUCUCAUGUGUGAAAAUUACUUGUCUUUCUCAUGUGUGAAAAUUACUUAUCUUUCAUGAGCCUGCACCCCUUAAUGAGACCUGAUACACAGUAUCCUAUAACCAAAAAUGUUCUUUGGGCAAUAAACUCAUGCCACUUGACAAGUAAUAAUGAAAUGAUACAACCAAUUUAAAGAUAUAGGUAUCCUUGUUCAGUUGCUUGUAUUCAAGAAAAAAAUCUUUCAAAAAUUUCUGAUUUGGCAAUAGUCAUGAUAAUAGAAGAUACAAAUGGUGUACAUAUAUCUAAAUCAUAAACCAACUGAUAAUAUGUUAAACUUUGUGUAAUUCACAAUGGGAAAUAUCUGUACAUCACACACAAUUAAGUAACUAGGAAACUGACUCCGUCAGGAAGGGGUCACACAGAGAUUGCAUGGACUAGUACUUAAAUGACACAGAAUUCAUUGAUGUUUGUAAUUCUGAAAGUAGUAAUUGUGUUUUCCAUGCUUAACUGCAAGAUCAACUAUCUUUGUAUAAAAUAUGAAAGCUGUAUGUGUAGUAAACUUAGGUGUUUUCCUGCCUUGGUAUAAAAUAUGAAAAUUGUUCAAGAUUUUGAGUCACAGCAAAAGUAAUUAUGUACAAACAGACAAGCAGACACCCAUGAUCUAUAGCUGUCUUCCUUUACUAAACAAUUACCUUUUUAUAGAAUAUGAAAGCAAUCGCAAUUGUUUGAAAAUAAAGCAAACGGAGGAAAUUAAGUAUCAGCUAGCUUGUGUUCAUUCCGAAUAGGGGUGCAGAAACAUUACUUCUCAUUUUACUUUUCUCGAAGAUCUGACUCAAAAAGAUUCAUGAAAUUUUCAUGGUACUCAAGCUGCUCCUAUAAACUACGAGUCCGUGAAUCGCCUUGAAAAAUCCCUGGCGACAACCCUGGCAAUAUUUAUGCAAAUAGAAUAUUUCUAGUAUCGACAUUAUUUCUAGUGUUUAGUAGAUACACUGUAAUAGUUAUGUAAGAUAUAAGUGAAAUUUUCAUUAUUAGAGAUCUAUAUAAUAUUUUGAUAGACUGUACUGUAUGUUAUCUCGACAGAACCUGAUCAGACAGGAAAUUUAGAAAUUCUGAGAUCUUCAUAUCUGAGCUGGGUGUUAUAACUUAUACUACUGGUAUUUUGUUUUCAAAGUGUUAUUAAAAAUGCCUAGCUAACUGAUCAAUAUACCAUAUUAACAAGAGUACUACAAACGGUACAAUAUACACCUGUUGGACAGUCACUCGGAAAUUCAACCUGGAAGCAUAUUAUGCACUCUGAAUUGAUACAACACACAUUCUGAAUAGAAAAGCCUUAUCGAUCAUGGUGCGCACCAAUCCAUCUGACAUGUGAACUAUAAUUAUGUAUUUCUCUGAGAAAAUGUUGGUGCAAUAUCUACAGAGUUGGCAAAAGACGCUGGACUACCGGAUAUCUCCAGUAAAUUUUCAUUUUGUUCGGUAAAACUUCGAAACUCAUCUGACAAACUGUCUGGUAGAUAUUCGCAGACAAAAAAGGGAUCAUAUCUGCGUUGUUUAUUGGCUUUAGGGCAAACAAAAACUCCGUCUGAUGUAGAUAACUUGCUUUUGUACAACAAAUGUGCUUUCCCAGAAAUGGUGCGUGUACUUUCAAUAUCACGCAUGUCAUUUUACUUCCGAUUGUGUGGCCAAUCACAUGGUUGAAAAAUCGUAGUUCAGAUGUCAAAAAGAAAGUUGAAUGUGUAAACACAGGUGCUUGAACAGUAUGUCAACAUGAUCGCAUAUCUUCCUCUCCUUUAGUUUACAACAAAUUUCUUAGAAUAAAUAUUAUAUUCACUUCCGAGGUGACAGUUUCAAUUUUCGUCAGUUACAAAUAAUGAAAAUUUAUAUGUAAUAGAUCACGCAAAUAUUGGCCAGCUUUGUGCUGCGCAGUUUGAAGAAAUUUUAUUGUAAGGUUGAGUGAGUAAACAACUACACCACAUAAUAAUUUUCUUUAUUAGUACUGUAUGGAGUUUUCCAAGGGGUAAAAUCUACUUUCAUUUUCAAAGUCUCUGACCUUGUCUACUUUUACAAUAUAUCCAAGAUGCUAGAAAUGGCAAGUUUUAUGUUUCAUGGUGAAUGUCAGGGCUUCAUCUCUUCCACUGGCAGCCAAAAAGGAGGUCACAGAGUAUGAAUUUAUAACGUGUCGUGUGAUUGGUCUGCGAAUAAUCCCGAGACCAUACAAAUGAUCCCAAGAUUAAGCAAUGUCUUUGCGAACCAAUCACACGGUGCGUACAACAAAUUUGUAAAAGAAAUGAGAUGGGUUUUGAGUUGACGAGACUUGUAGUAUGACAUCUUCCUGACCUGCCGCUCGCCAAAAUUCCUUAGGUAAUGCUGCAAUUACUUGGAAAAUGUGUCCCGAAAUAGGGACCCCCUGUUUGUUUUCAAAAUUUUGUUUCAUACCUUGUACAUGUAUAUUUUAUUAUACCAGUAGAAGGCCAAUCUCUACAGCUUACAUAAAGCGUGAAACGAUUACAUGAAUCGAAAGAGGGGUGAGAUAGACCAGGAAUUCACACAUUUCAGAGAAAUUAUUGCCACCACCAAAAAUUAUUAAAAGGGGGGGGGGGGUAGUAAUAUCCAUACUUCAGGUGCCUGUGUGUUUUAAAGCACGAUGUCUAACUGGCCGAUUAAAUGGUUCACUACAGCCUGCUAAUAAAAAUAUCUCAAAUAAUGGAAAUAAAAAACUGGAUAAGACACAUCGUCAGAAACCCACGGUUGAUUACGUUUGAACGCUUCGUUCCUCUCUCUGUCACCCGUGAGUCCAUUCAUUCCUACUCGCUUGUUCUCAUGAAUAAUUAAUGAGGCAAUCUGAUUGGGCGCUCAUAGUAUACCCUGAGCGAAUUUGUCCAAUCAACAAAACGCUUUCAGCCUAAUUUCGGUAUACAAUUCAGGGGUCGAAAUUAAAAUCCACAGGCUAAAAUGAAAACCUACAAGCUAAAAUAAAAAUAAUGAAGCAGUGCUCUUUUUUCAUAUGUUUAUUAUUUUCCCCAUCAUUACUGAGCCUAGUGGGUCAACAGGCAUCGUUUGGACAAGACACUAAGUUACGUAAGUCAUAUGGUGCAAUGUUUAGGUCUCUUGAUUAUGGUACCUCUAAUCCACAACCUAUUUACCGCAGGUAUAAAUCCAGUCUUCCAAUUUCAUGCCACAUCAGGGUUGUCACUAGCGAUUUUUCAAAGCGAAUCCCGGACUCGUGGUUUUAUAAGCAGCACGAUCACGAGCCCCAUGAACUUUUUUGAUGAUCGUCUACGCACCGAGCAGUGCACUCAUGUCAUCACUACAACCCGACCUCAAUAUGACAAUAAAUUAAUUUAGAUAGGACAUUCUCAUGAUUCUGAUAAAAAUAACUACCGGAAGACUUGGUAAAACAUAGACUACAAUUUUUUAAAAAGAUAAAUGAAAAACAAAAACCUCAUACUUGAAAUUCAAUUUAAUCACCCCUAUAGGUGAACAGGACUCGUGGCACAUGUCUAUAUUUUUCAUCAUAAUGCGAUGCACGAUGUCCGACCUCUAAAGCAUUUAUUUGACUCUGAUUUUCUUUAAAAAAUCAUAAAAGAAAAAUCCGGAUAGAAACGGUUGUUGAAAUCGGUCGUUCAUGUAAGUGUUUGUAUGAUUCAGAGUGCAAGUUUAAGAAAAGUGAAUAGUGCAUCAUCGUAUAAAACGGAUACGAUACGAAAAUAGUUUGUAAAUCACCAUUCGUUAAGAUUUUCGAGUGUCCACUAUUUUUACUCGCUAUUUUCCAAAUGUACUCGCAUUUUGCGAGUAUUUCUCGCUAAUUUCGAGCCCUGACAAUUGUUGUGAUAGCAAAGUUAAGAUAAUGCUACCUUUAAAAACAGAAGAGUUCCAUUACUAUAACAAUUACUUUGAUUGCACAAUAUUUUUAGAUAUUUUUUCAUGAGAACGAGCGAGUAGGAAUAAAUGGACCCAUGGGUGAUGCAGCUAGGCAACGAAAUUAAGGGGAAAUACUCGCUAAAUGCGAGUUAAAAAUUGAAUUUGCGAGUAAAAAAUCACAAGUGAUCACAACUUUUUGCGAGUGAAAAAACCCCGAUCUUUUUCCCAGAUUUCCUCGGUUUAUUGGCUGUACUUUGAAGUUUACAAUAAUUUUGUCUUGUGCAUAGAAACGCUUUACAGAAUGAAUAUACAAGUAUUGAAAAAGUAAACGUGGAUCGAAUAAAUAACUAAGGCCAAGGUCAUCUCAGUCAGUGAUGUCGAAGAUGGCCUACUUCAUACACACUUCGGACGUCUCAGAGACGUCUGAUUUAAACAGCAAACAUAUUGAUCUCAUCCGUGUCUACAUGAAACAACACAUGACAGUGUGUCACCGUUUCACGCGGUGUCCUUCUGUACUCUAUAGUCAAACACUUCGAGUUCGCGGGAUUUUCUAUUCAACUAGAAAUUUUUUAGAUGAAAUUUCCAAAAGUUUUGAACAUAUAGUUUGAAUUGGCGCAAACAGUCUUCAAGAUUUCAAUCCACAUGAUGCUGUAAAUAGGUGGUAGAUCUCUGGACAGCGAGUACGCCGCACAAGUGUACCCUAUGACCCGCACCAUGUAUGUUGUCUGAUAAUUCAUUGAAUUUUAAAUGAAAGAAUUCACAAUGUUAUUUUUAUUAUUGCACUUUAAAGGAGAUUUUAAAAGAUUUUCCCAAAAUUUUGAGAAAGAGACAUGCUUGUUUUCUUAAAUUCAUGUAAAACAGUAAUCGAUUGAAAAAUGCUAGUAAAAGCUCAAUUUUGCUAGUUGGAAAAUAAUCCACUAGCUAAAAUUUGCUAGUGGUGAAAAAAGUUAAUUUCGAUCCCUGUGAUGGAGAGAGGAACAAAGCUUAAUCAACUGUGGGUUUCCGACAAUGGAUAAGACAAGGGCAUAUAUGAAAAAGAAAAGUGGUCAAAGCAUGUGCUUUUCAGCAACAGUGGAGAGAGGGCUGGGUCUAAACUGGUUUUUGAAAGAAAAUAUGAAUAUUAACAAUAAAGAUGUUAACAUUUGUGAUUCUCAAUUCAUUUAAUAUGAUUCAUAAACUGUGUGGGGUUUUCCUGGAUCCUACUAGAAAUGUAUGAGUCCUGCAAAACUUUUCUCCUAUCAGGGCCUAUCAUACAUGCCAACUUUCCCGAUUUAGGCGGGAUCUUCCCGAUUUUACCCUCCGGUCCCGCUUUCCCGAUCGGGAAAGCAAAAUUACCCUAAAAUCCCGAUUUGAAAUUUUUUCCGACCAAAAUUUCCGAUUUCACGAUUGAAAACGAGUUUGAAAGCAGGAUAAUCGUGAAAUCUCGUGACCAGAAUUGGAAAUCCCGCGUCAUUUCUGAACUGGCCAAUCAGAAAUCGGGACAAUAGUCAGCCAUUGCUGUUUACCUGUGUCGCAUGGUGUCGGGUUGGUCUGCCUGUGUCGGGGUGUUUGUUGGACAGUACGAAGCAUGUUUUGAUAGUAAUUAAUCGGGAAGACGGAUUUCAAAUUGACCUAUCCUUUACACAAACGUGAAUGACAACGAUGAUAGUGUCACCACCAAACAAUCGGACAUUCCGCCUCUCGCUGACAGCAUCCAAAAUUUGCAAUAAGAUGUCAUGGGUGCAAAGGUUUUGUUCGCAAACUUCAUAGCAGGGCAGAUCACUCCUUUUUUGGUUGCAAUGCAGAUUAUUCCACCAGUCUCUGCAAGCCCAUGUUUAGAGACAAGCAAGAUCGCCUUUGCAGUCGUACCUAAAUGCAUGUGCUUUAAUUUAAAUUUUGAUAUAUAGACCGGCCAAUGUUUAUUGUAUGGUGUAAAAGGAUGCAACCUUAAAUAUUAUUUGAUAUUAUGUAUGUGACUUGUUGGAGAAGAUUUUUUGCUGAAUAGAUGAUUUUAACAAAAUAUUAAUGUAUAUC